AUUGAACGCUGGCGGCAUGCCUUACACAUGCAAGUCGAACGGUAACGCGGGGCAACCUGGCGACGAGUGACGAACGGGUGAGUAAUGUAUCGGAACGUGCCCAGUUGUGGGGGAUAACUGCUCGAAAGAGCAGCUAAUACCGCAUACGACCUGAGGGUGAAAGCGGGGGAUCGCAAGACCUCGCGCAAUUGGAGCGGCCGAUAUCAGACUAGGUAGUUGGGGGGGUAAAGGCUCACCAAGCCGACGAUCUGUAGCUGGUCUGAGAGGACGACCAGCCACACAGGGACUGAGACACGGCCCAGACUCCUACGGGAGGCAGCAGUGGGGAAUUUUGGACAAUGGACGCAAGUCUGAUCCAGCCAUGCCGCGUGCGGGAAGAAGGCCUUCGGGUUGUAAACCGCUUUUGUCAGGGAAGAAAAGGCUCCUUCUAAUAUAGGGGGCUCAUGACGGUACCUGAAGAAUAAGCACCGGCUAACUACGUGCCAGCCGCCGCGGUAA
rnacentral:rRNA from 1 species